UACGUAGGUGGCAAGCGUUGUCCGGAAUUAUUGGGCGUAAAGCGCGCGCAGGCGGUCCUUUAAGUCUGAUGUGAAAGCCCACGGCUCAACCGUGGAGGGUCAUUGGAAACUGGGGGACUUGAGUACAGAAGAGGAAAGCGGAAUUCCACGUGUAGCGGUGAAAUGCGUAGAGAUGUGGAGGAACACCAGUGGCGAAGGCGGUUCUCUGGGACGGUACUGACGCUGAGACGCGAAAGCGUGGGGAGCGAACAGG
rnacentral:rRNA from 1 species